UACGGGGGGAGCAAGCGUUGUUCGGAUUUACUGGGCGUAAAGGGCGCGUAGGCGGCCACCGCAAGUCGACUGUGAAAUCUCCGGGCUUAACCCGGAAAGGUCAGCCGAUACUGCGGGGCUAGAGUGUGGUAGGGGAGACUGGAAUUCCUGGUGUAGCGGUGGAAUGCGCAGAUAUCAGGAGGAACACCGAUGGCGAAGGCAGGUCUCUGGGCCAUUACUGACACUGAGAAGCGAAAGCAUGGGGAGCGAACAGG
rnacentral:rRNA from 1 species